rnacentral:rRNA from 1 species
GACGAACGCUGGCGGCGUGCCUAAUACAUGCAAGUUGAGCGAUGAAGAUUGGUGCUUGCACCAAUUUGAAGAGCAGCGAACGGGUGAGUAACGCGUGGGGAAUCUGCCUUUGAGCGGGGGACAACAUUUGGAAACGAAUGCUAAUACCGCAUAACAACUUUAAACAUAAGUUUUAAGUUUGAAAGAUGCAAUUGCAUCACUCAAAGAUGAUCCCGCGUUGUAUUAGCUAGUUGGUGAGGUAAAGGCUCACCAAGGCGAUGAUACAUAGCCGACCUGAGAGGGUGAACGGCCACAUUGGGACUGAGACACGGCCCAAACUCCUACGGGAGGCAGCAGUAGGGAAUCUUCGGCAAUGGACGAAAGUCUGACCGAGCAACGCCGCGUGAGUGAAGAAGGUUUUCGGAUCGUAAAACUCUGUUGGUAGAGAAGAACGUUGGUGAGAGUGGAAAGCUCAUCAAGUGACGGUAACUACCCAGAAAGGGACGGCUAACUACGUG